rnacentral:rRNA from 1 species
GAUGAACGCUAGCUACAGGCUUAACACAUGCAAGUCGAGGGGCAGCAUUACGGUAGCUUGCUACUGUAGAUGGCGACCGGCGCACGGGUGAGUAACGCGUAUCCAACCUGCCCAUGACUUGGGGAUAACCUUGCGAAAGCAAGCCUAAUACCCGAUACGCUUCAUAGAUGGCAUCUGAAAUGAAGUAAAGGUUUACGGUUAUGGAUGGGGAUGCGUCCGAUUAGCUUGUUGGCGGGGUAACGGCCCACCAAGGCAUCGAUCGGUAGGGGUUCUGAGAGGAAGGUCCCCCACAUUGGAACUGAGACACGGUCCAA